rnacentral:rRNA from 1 species
AUUGAACGCUGGCGGCAGGCCUAACACAUGCAAGUCGAGCGGAUGAAGGGAGCUUGCUCCUGGAUUCAGCGGCGGACGGGUGAGUAAUGCCUAGGAAUCUGCCUGGUAGUGGGGGAUAACGUCCGGAAACGGGCGCUAAUACCGCAUACGUCCUGAGGGAGAAAGUGGGGGAUCUUCGGACCUCACGCUAUCAGAUGAGCCUAGGUCGGAUUAGCUAGUUGGUGGGGUAAAGGCCUACCAAGGCGACGAUCCGUAACUGGUCUGAGAGGAUGAUCAGUCACAAUGGAAACGAGACACGGUCCAGACUCCUACGGGAGGCAGCAGUGGGGAAUAUUGGACAAUGGGCGAAAGCCUGAUCCAGCCAUGCCGCGUGUGUGAAGAAGGUCUUCGGAUUGUAAAGCACUUUAAGUUGGGAGGAAGGGCAGUAAGUUAAUACCUUGCUGUUUUGACGUUACCAACAGAAUAAGCACCGGCUAACUUCGUG